rnacentral:rRNA from 1 species
GUUGUAUAGUUAAGUGACUAAGCGUACACGGUGGAUGCCUUGGCAAUCAGAGGCGAAGAAGGACGUGCUAAUCUGCGAAAAGCGUGGGGGAGCUGAUAAGGAGCGUUAAUCCCACGAUGUCCGAAUGGGGAAACCCGAUAGAUGAAGAAUCUAUCAUUGUUGUCUGAAUUCAUAGGGCAACAAGGCAAACCGGGAGAACUGAAACAUCUAAGUACCCCGAGGAAAAGAAAUCAACCGAGAUUCUGCGAGUAGCGGCGAGCGAAAGCGGAGGAGCCAGCGAGUGAUAGCAUAAGUUUUAGGAGAAUUGUCUGGGAAGGCAAGCGAGAGAGGGUGACAGCCCCGUAUCCGAAAAGACAGAUGUGGUACUAAGCACGCGAGAAGUAGGGCGGGACACGAGGAAUCCUGUUUGAAGAAGGGGGGACCAUCCUCCAAGGCUAAAUACUCCUGAUUGACCGAUAGUGGACCAGUACCGUGAGGGAAAGGCGAAAAGAACCCCGGGAGGGGAGUGAAAGAGAACCUGAAACCGUGUACGUACAAGCAGUGGGAGCCCGAAAGGGUGACUGCGUACCUUUUGUAUAAUGGGUCAGCGACUUAUAUUUUGUAGCGAGGUUAACCGGAUAGGGGAGCCGAAGGGAAACCGAGUCUUAACUGGGCGGUUAGUUGCAAGAUAUAGACCCGAAACCCGGUGAUCUAGCCAUGGGCAGGAAGAAGGUUGGGUAACACUAACUGGAGGGCCGAACCGACUACUGUUGAAAAAGUAGCGGAUGACCUGUGGCUGGGGGUGAAAGGCCAAUCAAACCGGGAGAUAGCUGGUUCUCCCCGAAAUCUAUUUAGGUAGAGCCUUAUAUGAAUACCUUCGGGGGUAGAGCACUGUUUCGGCUAGGGGUCCAUCCCGGAUUACCAACCCGAUGCAAACUGCGAAUACCGAAGAGUAAUGUAUAGGAGACACACGGCGGGUGCUAACGUUCGUCGUGGAGAGGGAAACAACCCAGACCGCCAGCUAAGGUCCCAAAGUCUAUAUUAAGUGGGAAACGAAGUGGAAAGGCUUAGACAGCUAGGAUGUUGGCUUAGAAGCAGCCAUCAUUUAAAGAAAGCGUAAUAGCUCACUAGUCGAGUCGGUCUGCGCGGAAGAUGUAACGGGGCUAAAAUAUAGCACCGAAGCUGCGGCAUCA